ACGAUAAUGACGGUACCCGAAGAAGAAGCCGCGGCUAACUACGUGCCACCAGCCGCGGUAAUACAUAGGCAGCAAGCGUUGUUCGGAAUUACUGGGCGUAAAGGGUGCGUAGGCGGUGCUUUAAGUCUGGUGUGAAAUCUCCCGGCUCAACUGGGAGGGUGCGCGGGAAACUGGAGGGCUUGAGUGUGGGAGAGGUAAGUGGAAUUCCCGGUGUAGCGGUGAAAUGCGUAUAUAUCUGGAAGAACACCUGUGGUGUAGCCGCUCUCUGGACCAUUACUGACGCUGAAGCCGAAAGCCUGGGGAGCAAACAGGAUUAAAUACCCUGGUAGUCCACGCCCUAAACGAUG
rnacentral:rRNA from 1 species